rnacentral:rRNA from 1 species
UACGGGGGGGGCAAGCGUUGUUCGGAAUUACUGGACGUAAAGGGCGCGUAGGCGGCCUGCUAAGUCGGAUGUGAAAUCCCUCGGCUCAACCGAGGAACUGCAUCCGAUACUGGCGGGCUUGAAUCCGGGAGAGGGAUGUGGAAUUCCAGGUGUAGCGGUGAAAUGCGUAGAUAUCUGGAGGAACACCGGUGGCGAAGGCGGCAUCCUGGACCGGUAUUGACGCUGAGGCGCGAAAGCUAGGGGAGCAAACGGGG